rnacentral:lncRNA from 1 species
UCCAUAAAUAUGGGCUGCCUUGCUGACUGACCACAAGCACUUGGGAUAAAUCUUCAGAAUGUCUGGAAGCAGCUGGUCAUAAAACAUAGAUAAAUUAUUGAGAUGUCUGAAGGUUAAACUCAUUUUCCAAUAAAAUGGAAAGGUUCAUAUAAAAAUAAAAUAAGAGAUAAUUUAAAGUCAUUUCUUUGCUUUCCAACAACUACGGAAAUUCAAUGAAAAAACUGGGGAGGUAUUUCAGGCGGAAAAAAAAAAGAAUGCUCCUGUGGUUUCUAAAAAAGGGAUUUCUUCUUUAGAACACUCCUUUUUAUUUGGAAGAAAAGAAAUUUGUCUGAUUUUAGUUAUAAAAUAUGUCCUCUGUCAUUUCUUUUUAAAGGCAUUGAAUGCCCCCACUUUUUAACCUCAUCCACAGCAACAACUAGAAAGUAUUACUGUGGUUACUGUGGUGGAAAUAAUUGUGUUUUUUUUUUCUUUUUCUCAGCAACAAACUCACUGAAUUCAUGCCUUGUUUAUUAAUGAGGGAUAACAGCUUUUUCAUGGACAUAAAUUUACUUCAUGAGUAGGAAAAGUAGACAUUUUGAUACUCAUAUAAUAAUACAGUACAUUUGUGGUAGCUAGUGAAAUGAUUUGAAUGGUAGAGCAAGAGGCAGUUUUGUUGAAAAGGAUUUUAAUUUACAGCAAGUUUAGGUCUAAAUCAUAAUUUUAUAAUAAAUAAAAUGUGGAAUCACAAAUAUUUAUGGAUGUUUCUACAUUUUUAUCUAUUUUAAACAAAUGUAGGUGUGUAAUGAAUUAUUUCUACACUGCAUUGAUUGCUAUGGAUAAAAUUUAGAAGUUAGAUGUUCAAUAUUGACAGGAAAUUUUUUUUUUCUCUUUUUAGAGCUGUACCUACAGCAUAUGGAAAGACUGGAACCAUAACUGAAGCCUACACCACAGCAACACCAGAUCUGAACUGCAUCCAACCUAUGCCACAGCUUCUGGCAAUGCCAUAACCUUAACUCACUGAGCAAGGGCAGGGAUUGAACCCACGUCCUCAUGGACACCCUGUGAUGGGUUCUUAACUCACUGAACUUCUACAGGAACACCUGAGGGGAAAUUUUAAGUGAAACUAGAUAGCUAAGAGUAAACUAUCCCUUGGGAUGUACCAAUUGUCAUUUCAACCAAAGAUUUGAGUUGAUAACUUGUUUGCAACCUUGUCAUUUCAACCAAGUUUUGAGUGGAACAACUUGUUUGCAACACAAUAUUGCUCCGACCCAACAAUAUCCAGAGUACUACGACCAGAGUUACAUAAAUAUUAAUGAUGCUGCCAUUUCAUUCAGUUGUGGUGGAAACAGUGGCUCCUAAACUGUGAGAUGAGAACAAAUGAGGAGACUGCAAUUCACCCAUGAGAAAGUAACAGGAAGACUACCUGGUGAGGGUGUGUGGAAGAGUCACAGUCCAAGUGGAAACCAGGAAGCUUGUGGGCUGGAUCGGGUUUUGCCACUACUACUAAUGCAGCCUUUGAAAAAUCACUUUACUUCUUUGGGUCUCAGUUUUCUCAUCAUUUAUACAUGUGAGUAAUUAUAUAUGAUUACUGAUCUUUUUUUGGCUUUUAUGGUGUCUAGAAAUAAUAUUAUAUACAGAACUUAAUUUCCUAGCUCUAGAUUAGGCAAUAUCAAUAACACAUCAUUAAAAUGUGUUUAGCAUAAAAUGGCAAAGACUUUAUGCCAAGGAAAGAAUACAGAAACUACUCUUCUGUAUGCUACCUUGUUUUCACUUUUAACUGCUUUUAAACACGAAUGACAAUUUACAGCUUCUUGGGUAAUCUCUCUGUCUUCUAAAUUUUCAGUUUUAGACAUGGUAAAUAUUAAAAGGAAGUUUGAAUUCACUUCUUAUUUAAAUACAUUUUAACACAUUUUACUGAAAACUUUUAAUGUUUUAAUGUUUAAUAGUUGGCCACUCUUACCUAUGGUUCACCCACCAUACAGAUCUUAAGAGAAAUCCAACUGCCGAAUUAGAGCCAUAGUGUUUUCAAAGCAUAUGAGCACCAAAAAGGGCAACCAAGGUAUUUUAGGUUGGUAAGCAAGAAAGACUCUAAUGGAAAAAAUUAUUUUUAAGUUUUAUUUUACUAGAAGGUCUUUGGUAAUCUAUUUUUUGAGUUUCAUUCCAAUUAAGAGAAGAACCAGGGGAGAUAAAAAUAUUUUCAUUUUUAACCUAAUUAUCACGAUUCUUUCCCAUAACAUCUAUAAUUGUUUUAAGGAAUAAAAAUGAGUUUCAAUAAUAUUAGAGUAUAUUAUAAGGAACCGAGUAUAUGAAGAUUUUAUAUGUACUUAAAGAUAUGCCGAUAUAUAUUUAGAGGCAGUGACCUAUUAGGAAGUACAGUUUAGGUCUCCAUACAUAGUUGUUUUUUCCAUUUAAAGAUAUUUAUCUUUUCCAGGUCAGUUUUAGGAAUAUCAUUGAACUACAUAAACUAUGUUAAUAAUGAGUAAUAUUUAAGGGCUUAAUAAAUACCAGAACUUGAAAAUAAGUCCAUAACUAGGACAGCCAGUCAAAUGCACGUGUAGAAGGGAGGGUUAUGCUUUCACACUAGUGAUCUAUUCAGUACAUUUUUGGGUUCUGAGAUAAGUAUCUCUUUGUUAAAUAUCCUCCAACCAGAAAUUUCUUCCAAAGACUUAUUUUUAAUAAACACAAAAUAAUAAUGUUUUAUACCAGUUGGUUGGUCCAAGGGUAUUUUCUGAUCUACAGUCAUUUCUCUGAGAAUUUAGAAUUGUGAUUAAUGACUUCAAUUUUCAAAAUGCUUGACUUUUAAAGAGAGAAGAUGAAAAAGACUAUACUGUCAUGUGCAUUUAGAAACAGAAGAGCCAGAGCACAGAGUCAGAGAAGAGUGAAGCAGAUGCUGAGAGAAGAUCAAAAAAGAAAGACAGCAAGAGUUGCCCCUCCUCUGGUUUCAUGUGCCCCCUCACAUUCCCAUAAGAAACUUGAUUAUCUUUUGCCUAAGCUCGUUUAAACUGGUUUUUCUGACUUACAGUCUUCUAAAUUAAAUGGAUUUUCUAGCUAAAAUUAAUAAUGGUGAUUUAGAACUUUAUUCCACUGGAAUAGAGUUAUGGAGUGGAUCCAGGCACUGGAGGAAACUAGGUAGUCCAAUCUCCUUUACCCUACAGACCAAUCAACUAAGGUAGGUCUCAAAAGAGGUCUAAGUGAUUAAUCCUAUGGAGAACACAAGAAGUAAUCAGCCUCACUCAUGGAUGAUCCCAAAGCAGAACAGUCUUUUGGCCCAGGUAUCAACCCUCAGUGGCUACCAUAGGGAUGCCUGCCUUCUUCUGGACCAAGGUUUGGAGAGACAGAGUCCAUAAUUUUAAUUUAUUUUUCAAAGAGGAAGCAAAAAGAGUUCACGUAUUCUCAAAACAUCUUUCCAAGAACUAAGAUGUGCACUACAACCUGCCAGGGCAGUUGCUAAAAGACCAUUCUAUUGUGAUCUGUCCCCAGUCCUUCUUCCUGAAAAUUUUUAGUAGUCAUGUCACAAAAAGUUAUUAUAUCAGAAGCAAUAAUUUAUUCUUCACACACUUAAAGUUAAAAAUCUAUGUUGCCUUAAUUUGUUCAAUGAGACAAUAAUUGAGUAUACUAAACACUACUAGAUAUUAUUACCAGUAGUUAGUGUCUCAUUGAUAUUUCACUUGUUUAUUUUCAAUACGCUUGCAGUUCAUAAACAUGUAUCAUUUCUUUUUUUAAUCCUCUGAAAGCAAGUUUGGAGAAAUUCUUAAAUAGCCAGAACAAAAGUAACAAUUAUAACUUCUGAAAUGUAUAGAUUAACAAAAUAGUUAAAAAAAAUCUAACUUUAAUCCAACCUAAAGCUAGAAGAAAAAAUAACAGAAAAAACCUGUCAUAAUACAUUACAAAUUAUUACCUAUAUAUGCAUAUAUACAUAUACAUGUGUAUGCAAAUGUAUAUAUAAAAUCACUAUUAUAAAUGUGAAUGGAAUAAAUUCAGUUAACAAUAAAAACUAACAUUUAGCACUUUACACAAUUAAUCACUGAAGUCUUUACAUAUAUUAAGUAUUUUUACCUCUCCAAGCAAAUCCAUUAUAUAAAUACUUUAAUUAUUCUUAUUUCACAAAAAAAGAAGCUAUAAGAUAAGUAAAUCUGUCCAAGGUCACAAAAAUGAAUCCAAGAACAUUUUAUUGAUGACCAUUCUAUUCUGUCUCCUUAUUAAAAACAGACAUUCAGGAGCUCCCUCUGUGGUGCAACAGGAUUGGUGGUGUCUUGGGAGCUCUGGGACACAGGUUUGAUCCCCAGCCAGGCAUAGUGGGUUAGGGAUCUGGCAUUGCUGCAGCUGUGGCUUGGGUCAUAAAACAAAAUGAAUACUUUAUGAUGUGUCUUAAAUGUGGUAUCUAAAGAAAAAAACCCUGAACUGUAAAAGUAGAGAGCAAACUAGUGGUUACCAGGGGUUAGGGUAUGGAGGAAUGGGGAGAGAUGCUGUUUCAGGGUACGUACACUUGCAACCAGAAAGUCGUGAAGACCUAAUAAACAGCAUAGUGAUUAUAGACAACCAAAUUGUUUUAGCGACAUUAAACUUUCUAAGAGGCUAGGUUUUCAUUUUUCCCAAGACAAGAAGAAAUGACAAUUAUGUGAAGCAAUACAGGCCAUAGCUAAUGCUACUACGGCAAUCACAUUACAGUAUAAAUUUAUCAGGUCAAUAUGUUGUCCACCUUAAAUUUAGGGUGCUGUGUGUCAAAUAUAACUCAAUGAAAACAAGCAAACAAACAAGCAGUAAGGUGCCCUUUAAAAGAUACACAUAAAACUCAGCAUUCCCAUUAUGGUUCAGUAGAUUAAGAACCCGACUAGUAUCCAAGAGGAUGUGAGUUCAAUUCCCAGCCUCACUGAGUGAGUUAAGGAUCUGGCAUUGCUUUGAGCUGCAGUGUAGGUCACAGAUGGGGCUCAGAUCUGAUGUUGCUGUGGCUGUGACAUAGGCCCACAGCUGAAGCUUUGAUUCCACCCCUAGCCUGGGAACUUUCAUAUGCCGCAGGUGCAGCCCUGAAACGAAAAAUAAAUAAGUAAAAGAUACGCAUAAAACAAAAUUACAUAGAAUAUAUCAAAAUAAGAGAAGGAAGAAAAUACACUUAGUAUAUACUAAUAAAAAUGCGUUUCAGCAGUUUUAACGGACUGUGGUACCUUUCAGCACCAAACGGAUUACAACUCAAAUUUAAUCCUCUGCGUGGCUUGUUUCUUCCAACACUGUUUCAUUCCGCAUUUCCCACUGCUCAUUCUAGUUUGGUCAGGCAGCCUUUCCAUUACCAAAACUUUCCUUUCAGCCUACCUUCCACAGACUGUUGUGGUUGCUCUGUGGAUCAUUAUUUGCCCAGUGACUGGUAUGAUUUGAUCAAGCACUCUCAAGAUUCCAAAAUCAUUGCUAUGAAAUGGCUUGUUAUUAAACACUAUUUCUUUAUCUAGCUUUAUUUUUCCUUAUAUCAGAAAUCACUACCCAAUAUUACAAAGCAAUCAGUUUAAGUUUUCAUUAUCUGUUUACCCCAGUAAAAUACAAGUUUAAGCAAGCUAACCUCCCCUUUUAAAAUUAAUAUUUGCAUAAAUAUAAAAAUAAAGGAAAAAUUUUAUAAUAGCAAAAAGGACAAUACACUAGGAUGCUAGUAAAAUUACUACCAGAAAUAUUUUAAAUAGUGCUAAUAAUCAAAAGGAGAAAUCAGCAAAUCCAAUAUCAUGGGAGAUUUUCAUGCAUCUGUUUCAGAGUUGCAAGUAAGUAAUAGAAUGGUUGUAGAAAAAAAUAAAAUACAAUGAUUUGUUAGACAGAGCCAUAUAAUUUUAGUGAGGCAAUAUGAGUUGAAUAGAAACAAUUUUUAUUUUGAUUUUAUAAAAGUGUGUGAAUACAUUGCUAUAUAGACAGAUUGAUCCUAUACCUGAAAAAUAAAGGAUACAUAAUCUCUUCAUGCUUGUGUAAUAGGUAACAAAGGAUUUUCAAACCAAAAACCCUAAAAUGGGGCAUUUUAUGCAAAUUUCACUCUGAGUAUAAUUCAAUAAAGUUAUUAGCUAAAAAUAAAAACAAUAUCCAGGAAAUUCCCAUGUGGUGCAGUGGGUUAGGAUCUGGCAUUGCCAUCUCAUCUGUAGUGUGUGCUGCAGCUAGGGCAUGGAUUUGAUCUCUGGCCUGGGAACUUCUACAUGCUGUGGGGGUGACCAAAAAAAAAAAAAAAA